UACGAAGGGGGCUAGCGUUGCUCGGAAUCACUGGGCGUAAAGCGCACGUAGGCGGAUUGUUAAGUCAGGGGUGAAAUCCUGGAGCUCAACUCCAGAACUGCCUUUGAUACUGGCGAUCUUGAGUCCGGGAGAGGUGAGUGGAACUGCGAGUGUAGAGGUGAAAUUCGUAGAUAUUCGCAAGAACACCAGUGGCGAAGGCGGCUCACUGGCCCGGUACUGACGCUGAGGUGCGAAAGCGUGGGGAGCAAACAGGAUUAAGAAACCC
rnacentral:rRNA from 1 species